UGAUACAUAUAACUGAAAGGAACCUGAAAUGAUAACACUGUGAAUCAUGUCAAUAUGCUGGUUCUUCUAGCUACUGAUAGGCAUUUCACUGUGAUGACUAGGUGGCUGAGAAGCACUAUGCCUGUGUCAAUGUUUCCUGUUGCUGCAGGAAUUCUGUCCAGUGACUUUCUCAUCACGGCUAUUUCCCCAGCUGCAUUAUUCAAGCAACAGGAAUCUUUCUAGCUUAGAAGGUACAUGAUCAUAAACAUUUUGACAGGAAGCGACCAAUUUUCUGACCUGGAAUAAAAAUCUCUGGACCAAUAUUCUGAUAGUGGCUGCAGGCCUGCCUGUUUUCUUGUCUGUAUCCCCUGCUCCUGGACUCUCAUGCUCACCUCCAAGGGUUUUGCCCCAUGCUUGUGCUGCUGGUGAGUGAUCUGCUACUCAGACUGCACUUUAACUGUUGUAGACCAGACGGUCAAAGAACAAUGAAAACAGGGGAGUGGGAUCUUUUUAAAGUGAGAAUAAAAAAUUUAACGAACUGUUCAGCACAACUUAACUUGCAAUUAUUGAAUUUAGUAUUUGGGAAUCCUGUUGUGCUGCACAAUACUCGACCACUGAAAAAUAGGCAGGCAUUGCUUUAAUGAAUUAUAAAAUGUAGUUCAUAUUGCAUUACUUCUCCUUUUCCUUCCUUUUUUGUAUGUAAAUUAUCUAGAUACUAUUUUUUUUUUGUGUUUCAGUGAGCAUUCAACAUUUCCCUGUAAACAGGAUAUUAUAUUGUUUAUAGCUGUAAUGCUAUUAGAUUUUAGUGAAAUAUUAGCUACAAGUUAGGGGUAGAGGGAACCUCAUUUGAUAUAUAUAUCCCAGGAAUCCGUUUUUAUGGUUUUAUAUAUAAAGAAUCCAAGGGAACCUCAGCAUAACCUCCACAAAGAAAACUCUUAUUGUUAUGUUUCAUCAUUGAGAAAUGUUUAUGGGUCCCAUAAGAUUUCACUCAGAUGUUUAAAUAAUUUGUGUAACCUUUUGGUCAUGUAAUUUAUUUGAUUUAUCUGAAAUGAUUGUAGACAAGAAAUUUCAUCAGCUCUGCUUUGUUCUCUCAUAAAGUAAUGGAAAGAAAGUAGUUCUCAAGUUAUGUUAGACUUAAAAUAAUUGUAAGCAGCUACCACAGAUGCUAUAUAAAUUGUGGGUUUUCUCCUAAUUUCAUCGAUACUGAACGCUUGUCUUAGAUGCCUGGUAAAAUUUAAUUAGA